rnacentral:rRNA from 1 species
GCGGCAGGCUUAACACAUGCAAGUCGAGCGGAGAUGAGGUGCUUGCACCUUAUCUUAGCGGCGGACGGGUGAGUAACGCGUGGGAACGUGCCCUUUGCUACGGAAUAGCCCCGGGAAACUGGGAGUAAUACCGUAUAAGCCCUACGGGGGAAAGAUUUAUUGGCAAAGGAUCGGCCCGCCUUGGAUUAGGUAGUUGGUGGGGUAAUGGCCUACCAAGCCGACGAUCCAUAGCUGGUUUGAGAGGAUGAUUAGCCACACUGGGACUGAGACACGGCCCAGACCCCUACGGGAGGCAGCAGUGGGGAAUCUUAGACAAUGGGCGCAAGCCUGAUCUAGCCAUGCCGCGUGAGCGAUGAAGGCCUUAGGGUCGUAAAGCUCUUUCGCCGACGAAGAUAAUGACGGUAGUCGGAGAAGAAGCCCCGGCUAACUUCGUGCCAGCCGCCGCGGUAAAAC